AUAAAAUUCGGGCCGUCGGUCUACCGAGCAAUAUCACACGUUCGGUGGAAGAUCUUCCCCUUUGUCGU
rnacentral:pre_miRNA from 1 species